rfam:Subdoligranulum sp. 4_3_54A2FAA genomic scaffold supercont1.6, whole genome shotgun sequence.
GCGAACUGAUAUCUGAUCGAUAGAAUGAGGGAGUAAUUCCUCGAAACGCCUGCCUUAAUACUCCGACCGGCAUAUACAAGCGAAAGCCAAUAUGUCAGAAGCCUGGUGAAGCUGGCAGUGAGAUACGGUAAUGCAGAAAAGAAAAAUCCUGCGGCUCUGUGCUGGGAUUUUUUUGUUGGAGGAGAUUUUA